rnacentral:lncRNA from 1 species
GGCCUUAAGUAACAAGUGAAAAAGACUGAGGGAUGAGUAACAAGCAAAAAGAUUGACCUGCCUGUUGAAGUAGGAAUCACAAUAAGAGUUUUGCAUUUUCUCUUGUUUAGGUUUUUGCAAGUACUCAGACUCAUUGCAUACACAACCGUCAUAUCCUUCCUAUGAUUGUAACCAUUAUUCACUUUGGAAUCUGAUUUUUUAUGUCAGUAUUGGUUAUAAUAUAAACACCUUUUGUGCUUGUGAACUGAUUUGAUCAACUACGUGAAUUGCCACAAGCAAUAUCUCUAGUUUUUCUUUUUCUCAAAUAUUCUGCAAGUUCUCCAUAUCAUUGAUGGCCAAUGUGCUAAAUUAAAGGCUCGUGUGACUCAGUAACAAUAUCGCUAUUACUUUGACCUGCCUUUGAGGUUUAUAAAAACCUGAAGCAUGAUAUUACUUAACAGAGCAUGUGUUAAUGUCAUUACUUAAAUAGUACUAGAGAACACAUCAUAUAGACUUUCACCAUGAAUUGCGGUUAUCUAUUAUGUGUUUUCAUUGUUUUGCCAGUAUUCUUAUAUCGUGUCUGUUUCAGGCUGUUGCUAUGAAAUCUAUGUCAGAGCAGUAAUGCGGGAGGAGGCUCGAAAAAAAGCAGGGGAAAGUGCAUAAGUAUUCAAUUCUUCGAUGUUUCAUUUUAUUGCUGAGAACAACGUUAGGCCUUCGUUUUUUUAAUCUGUGUGUUGAAUAAGCAGAACAACCAGUUUUGUUGUAAUCAAAUGGUUGUUCUCGAAAGUUGCUAUUACCAUGUUUUCUAAUUUAUGCUUGAUAAAUGUUAUGACAUAAUGUAUGCACAUAUAAAGAACAAUAUUCUAUUGGCAGGGCCACAUGUAUCGGAUGUACUUGAGAAUUUUUCUUGGCAUAUUUGCACUCAUAACGUUAUUAAAGAAAAUUUUCAUGGCAUCUUAAAAUUAAAAAAAAAAAUGCGUAAGUUUAUACAAAAAGUGCCAAUCAAUAAAUAGUUUGAAUCUUUUAAAUUAAUUUAAAUUUAAGGUGGAGAUUUUUUAGUGAAAAAAUAUAAGCGAGUAGUAAUUACAAAUUUUAUACAUUUAUAUAUUUAUCAUUAACGUUCAAUUAUUAACUAUAAAAUAGUGAUUUUAGAAGAAAUUUGAGGUUUAUGAAUAUAAGUUGGUGUGUUUAUAGUUUGUGCUAUUUUUAUUAAUAUUAUAAGAUUAUCUUGAUUGUGUUUUUUGGGAUGUUUUUAAAUUUAAAGUGACAUAAUUGUUUUUAAAAAAUUAAGACAAACCUAUAAAAUUCUGCUCCAAAUUAUCUUGAAUUAAAAUUGAUUAAACUAGUCGAACACCCAAUUAAUUUUGAUUCAUUUCCUUUCUCAAUCAUGAACCAUUGAUUUGAUGAUGAUCAAACCAAACUCUGACUAGGUAUGCACUAGAAAAUUUUUGAGCCAACAUUUUCCAUGGCCAUGUUUGUACAUUUAUUUCACAAAGCAUGCUCUAAGGCCUAUAAAUAGAUACCCAAAUCACAGAGUGAAUCCAAAAUAACUAAAAGCAAAGGUGAUGGCCAAUCCAAGAUGUCAUGUCAUUGUUAUCCCUUACCCUGCUCAAGGUCACAUUAACCCCCUCCUUCAGUUCGCUAAACGCUUGGCUUCCAAAGGAGUCAAGGCCACUCUCGCCACCACCCCUUACACAAUAAACUCGAUCCAUGCCCCCACAGUAGGUGUUGAGCCCAUCUCUGAUGGCUUUGAUGAAGGCGGCUUCAAGCAAUCCUCAGGUGUAGAGGCAUACCUAGAAUCAUUCAAAGCUGUUGGUUCAAGAACUCUUACUGAGCUUAUCUUGAAAUUCAACGCCUCGGACUCCCCUGUUAGGUGUAUUGUGUACGAUUCAUUGCUGACUUGGCCUGUUGAUGUAGCUAGACAACUUGGGAUUCAUGCUGCUGUAUUUUUUACCAAUUCAGCUUCUGUUUGCUCCAUGUAUUGGCAAAUUGAUCGGGGUCUCACUCUUCCUGUGGAACAAGAAACUGUGCCAGUGUCUUUGCCGGGCCUUCCUUCACUAGGCUUCCAUGAAUUUCCGAGUUUUCUGGCAUCCCCAACAACUCACUCUGCUUAUUUAGCAGCAAUCUUGGAGAAAUUUCACAGUUUGGACAAAAAUGAUUGGGUAGGUCUGCAGCUCCUUCGAAGAGCUAGAGAUUCAGGUAACUGAACUUUGGGAUAUUUUUUGACUGUAUGCAAUUCUUGUUAUUUUAAUUUAUAUUUUUUGGGAUUGAUGAUAAUUUAAUAAUUAGAUUUCCAGAGGAUACAAUGUAAUUUAAUGGAUAAUUAGAUUGCUAAUGUGUUCACUGCUUUGACUGGUGAAAAAUGAAAAGCUAGUAGGAGCCACGAGAGGACUGUGGCCAGUGGUGAUGGUAGGUCCAAUGGUGCCAUCUGCCUACUUAGACCAACAAAUUGAUGGAGAUACAGCUUAUGGGGCCAGUCUCUGGGAACCAACAACUGACCAGUGCUUGAGAUAGCUAGACACGAAGCCACCAGACUCAGUAAUAUACGUGUCAUUUGGAAGCAUGGCAGGCAUUUCAGCUAACACAGGUUGAAGAAAUGGCAUGGGGUUUGGAAGCAAGCAAAAGGCCUUUCCUAUGGGUUAUCAAGGAUUCAGAAAAUAAGCUACAAGAUGAUUUUAUAAGCUCAAUAGGCGAGACAGGGAUAGUCGUGGCAUGGUGCAACUAACUAGAGGUCCUAGCUCACCAAGCGGUGGGCUACUUUGUUACACACUGUGGAUGGAAUUCUACAGUGGAGGGGCUGAGCCUAGGCGUGCCAAUGGUAUGCGCGACACAGUGGAGCGACCAGCCAACAAACGCCAAGUUUGUAGAGGAAGUGUGGAAGGUGGGAGUAAGAGCUGAGAAAGAUGAAGAGGGGAUAGUAGGGAGAAAGGAACUUGAGAAAUGUGUAAGGGAGGUUAUGGUUGGAGAGAGGAGUGAAGAAAUGAAGAAUAAUGCAUCUAAAUGGAGAGAUAUUGCAAAGGGUGCUGUCAGACUCGGUGGGAGCUCAGAUACCAAUGUUGAUCACUUUUGUAAUGAAGUUGCUAGAUGAGAAGAAAACAUAAAUUGUCACAGCUUGAAUUUUGAUGGAUCAAUAAAAUCAUGUAUCACCCCAUUGAGGUUUAUCUUGUGUUGUAAGCUUCUGCUCUUGGGCAGCUCCAGUAGCUGCACGACAAUUUAAAUUUGAUUUCAAGGAAGAAGAACUAAACCUCCAACUUUAAUUGAAAUCAUUAGCAAGAAGCAAGUUUUACAGUUCCAAACCUUCGCUUUUCUUGGAUCCAGAAUUCCUCUAAAGGCGGUGGACGACCUAAACAAAAGAUUUUCUUUGCCAUAAACAAUUGAACUGUUAUUUCAUAUAAAACAGUCAUUGCCCGAAUCGCUUUUCUUGAAAAAUUUAUUAAAAUAUAUUUUUUUCUAUAUUAAUAAAAUAAUUUUUUUUAAUUUUAUUUAUUUUUAUUAUUAUAAUAAAAAAUCAAAUUAUCAUUUCUUUUUUUUAUUUUUAAAAAUUCUUUUUUUUAUUUUUAAAAAUUAUAAUAAAAAAAUCAAAUUAUCACUUUUUUGUUUUUUUUAUUUUUUUUAUUUUGUUGUUAAAAAAAUAAAAAAAUUUAAUAUAUUUUUUAAAAUAUAAAGAGUGAUUUAUAAAUAAUAAUAAUAUUUACAAAUUAAAUAAAAGAGUUUAUUAAAAAUAAAAUUGAAUUUAAAAUUUUUUUUUCUAUUUUUUAUUUUUUUAAUAAAAAAUAAAAAUAUUAUUUCAUUGAAAAAAAAAUCUUAAUAAAAUUUUAAAAAUAUAAAAAUUAAUUUAUUAAUAAUAGUAUUAAAUCUCCCACAAAAAGGAACACAUGAGGCUUAGUGGAAAAACGACGAUUAAUACGAAAAUUGGGUACAAAUAGAGAUUAAUGUGAAAUUUCACGGAGGGUACCGUUGCAAAUUCCAUAAUCUCAAAUUUUUUAAGAGAGAUCCCUGGUGGGUCAGUUUCAGUGCCCAUUCGAGCAGCACCCACUCAGAUCUCGCCUUCCAUUAUUUCUUACUCAAAGAAAGGGAAAAAUAAAUGGCCUUCCUGCUCAAUAAUUCCGCAAUUUCUUCUCAUUUUCGAUCUCAUACACAAGUAAUUUGUUUAUUGUGAUUAUAUAUCAUCGUAUUUUUAAAAUUGAUUUGAAUUUGAUUAGCUAUUUCUCUUGCGUUUCCUUCUCUGUGAAACUCGCAGAAGAAUCAGGAAUCUCUAUCUCGUCGUGCAUUCCACGUCGAACCUCAGCCUCGCGAGAAAGCUGUGAGUUUCUCCUCUCUCUAUCUCAGCUACUGCACCCUAUCUUGCUAGUUUCUUAGGGUUUUAAAACUUUUUCUUUUCCCUUUUGAGUGGAAAGAUAUUUUUAUCCUUUAUUUUCUGAGAUAUGAGAAUCUUCAACAAGGUCAGCGUGACAGGGUCUAUCCGCUGUUAUGGUCUUAUAGAUAUCGAGAUUUUGCCUUUUAAGUGAAUAGCUUGCGACACUUCAAUCAUGUUUUCGUUCUUAGAUGAGGAAUGAUUGCCGUUUAUAUGCUCGUGUAUGUGUGUUAGAGACUAGUUUAAUAUACAAUCUUAUACAGUUAAUGAAGUUGUUGAAUUUCGAUUGCAUCGGAUGCAUUGUUGGUCCAGCAUCUAACUCCCCAACUUGGUCCAGUGGCAUACUUCGGUAUCAUUUGGUUGACAUUCAUGUUCAAGGACCUUUGUUUUAGUUAAGUGACCAAAUAGUAGCGAUCAAAAGCAUGGCUGUAAUGGUGGAGAAGGUAUCCUGGAGCUUUUUUAGUUCAUCUAUGACAUUCCACGCUUUGAUGAAAUGCUAUAGCAUUGCUCUGUUUUCAUUUUGAGACAUAUUUCUGUUUCUCCCUCUAUUCUCCAAAAAGUCAUCUACUUGAGAUUUUUUCCUGCAUGAAGUCAAAGCUAACUACGCAAUGCCUGUCUGAAGACUUCAAGCAAUGUGCUUCUCUGUUUAACUAAUAUCGUAAACUUUUGUCUUGAAACUUUUCACAUUUUAUGUUGUGCAAAUUAGUGGAUAACUGAACUUGAAAUUCAACUUAAGUGCUUUUUUUUUAGAUUUUCCUUGUUGUUCUAAGUUAUUUGCAUUACAGCUCUUGGCAGAAGACCCAGCUCUUAAGCGAUUCAAAUCACAUAAGAAGAGUGUAUGGAGACUCAAAAGAGUUGGAGAUGUUCUCACAAUUGUGGUUGUAGCAGGUAUGCUGGUGUUUCUGCUACAAGUUGAAGAAAAUUUUCAUUAGUAUUCUCCCAUAUCAGGAUCUCUUUUGCCCAUUAUGUUAUGCAAUUUAUAAUAUUGCGGGAGUAGCUGAACCUCAGAAAUUUAUUUGGGUUCUCAUGCACAGCAAGAAAAUAAUCCCCUUAGGAAAUUCAAUGGUUUGGAGUAUAGGAAAUUGAUGGAGUCGUCAACAGCCACAUAGAUCUCCCAAGUUGAAUGAAAUGACCAUGUAAGGAAAAUGUUUAAUCCAAAUUUGUUGUUGUAAAUUGACGAGAGCUUGCAAGGUAUUCUAAGGGUAGAGAGAUUAACAAUUUGCUCACAGGAAAUUUUAUUCUUUAAGCUUCCAAUCAAGAAGCAGAAAGCUGCUGUUUCUAAGUGGGAGGGUAUACUUUCAUUCGUGCUAAGUUCUUCCAAGCAGAAAACUUAGCUUCCUACCUUACAAAUUUAGAAUCCGAAAACUGGUGAAGUGCAUUUUGAAAUCAUUUUUGUGAAUUUGAUAUGCGAUAUUUUAGUGGAAGCAUGGAUUUAUGGCUUCUUGUGCAAUUUUGAUGCCUAAUGAAAUGCUUGUCCUUUUACUUGUCCACUUUUAUGCCUUCAUGUAGGCUCCCCUUUGCACUUUAAUGUGUCUUUGGCCUUAAGUAACAAGUGAAAAAGACUGAGGGAUGAGUAACAAGCAAAAAGAUUGGCCUGCCUGUUGAAGUAGGAAUCACAAUAAGAGUUUUGCAUUUUCUAUUGUUGAGGUUUUUGCAAGUACUCACUCAUUGCAUACACAACCUUCAUAUCCUUCCUAUGAUUUUAACAACUAUUCACUUUGGAAUCUGACUUUUUAUGUCAGUAUUGGGUAUAAUAUAAAUACCUUCUGUGCUUGUGAACUGAUUAGGUCAACUAUUUGAAUUGCCACUAGCAAUAUCUCUAGUUUUCCUUUUUCUCAAAUAUUCUGCAACAUCUCCAUAUCAUUGAUGGCCAAUGUGCUAAAUUAAAGGCUCGUGUGACUCAGUAACAAUGUUGCUAUUACUUUGACCUGCCCUUGAGGUUUAUUAAAACCUGAAGCAUGAUAUUGCUUACAGAGCAUGUGUUAAUGUGAUUACUUAAAUAGUACUAGAGAACACAUCGUAUAGAUUUUCACCAUGAAUUGCUGUUAUCUAUUAUGUGUUUUCAUUGUUGUGCCAG